rnacentral:rRNA from 1 species
GAUCAUGGCUCAGGAUGAACGCUGGCGGCGUGCUUAACACAUGCAAGUCGAACGAUUAACCCAUCUUCGGAUGGUAUAGAGUGGCGAACGGGUGAGUAACACGUGACCAACCUGCCUUUCACAUUGGGAUAACCCAGGGAAACUUGUGCUAAUACCAAAUACUCCGGUACUUCCGCAUGCUAGUACCGGGAAAGCUCCGGCGGUGAAAGAUGGGGUCGCGGCCCAUUAGGUAGUUGGUGGGGUAACGGCCUACCAAGCCCGCGAUGGGUAGUCGGGUUGAGAGACUGAUCGGCCACAUUGGGACUGAGAUACGGCCCAGACUCCUACGGGAGGCAGCAGUGGGGAAUUUUGCGCAAUGGGGGCAACCCUGACGCAGCAACGCCGCGUGCGGGAUGACGGCCUUCGGGUUGUAAACCGCUUUCAGUAGGGAAGAAAUUGACGGUACCUACAGAAGAAGCUCCGGCUAAAUACGUGCCAGCAGCGGC